AAUUUAAUUUUGGUUAGUUUAUAUUGUGCUGUUUGAAUUUUAUUUAAAAUAUUAUAUUGUUUGUAUUAGUAAAUAUUUAGAAUUUAUAUUGUUUAUUUUAUGUAUUGUUAGAGAUCGUUUGAAAUAGUUUGAAAGUAUGUUGGUUAGUUAGCAGAAUUUUUUUGUACCUUUUGUAUCAGGGGUUUAUGAUUUUGAUUACUUAUUGUAUUUAUCCCGAAUGGUUUUGAUUUAUAUAUAUAUAAAGUUUAUUGUUGCAAUAUUUAUAUUUUUAAUGUGUAUAUGGUAAUAAAAAGUUAUUUCGUAAAAUUGGAUUUCUGGUUGUUUGAGAAAUAAAUUUAAUUUAGUGAUAUUGUUUGUCAUAUAUUAUUUAUUUGAUAUGUACAAGAAUAUUUUAUUAAAUAGUAGGGGACUAGCUCUAUUAUUUAAUUUUAUGAUGACAAAAGGUAAGUGAAUGUUUAAUUUAGGAUUAGAAGUUUCUAUUAUUUAUAAUUGUGUUGUAAUUUAAUAUUUGUGUUAAAUUAAAGAUUUAAUUAAUUUGUGUCUAAAAUUUUUAUUUAACUUUUUAAAUUAAUAAUUUUAUUUAAAAUAAUUUUGUAAAUAUUAGUAAUAAUUAAUAUCUGUAUUUUAUUAUAAUAAGUUGUGUAAUAUAUUUUUAGGAAUUCGGCAAAUGUAGUUUUCACCUGUUUAUCAAAAACAUGGCUUCAGUAGAAUUUGUUUAUGAAGUCAGGCCUGCCCGCUGAAAUGUUUGAAUGGCCGCGGUAUUUUGACCGUGCAAAGGUAGCAUAAUCAUUUGUCUUUUAAUUGAAGGCUGGUAUGAAGGGUUUUAUGAAAAAUUAGCUGUCUUAAAAUGGUUUAUUGAAUUUGAUUUUUUAGUGAAAAGGCUUAGAUGAUUUUGUAGGACGAUAAGACCCUAUAGAUCUUUAUAAUAUAAUUUUUUAAUUUUGGUUAGUUUAUAUUUGAUGUUAAUUUAUUGUAUUAUUAUGUUGGGGCGAUGGGGGAAUUUGUUUAACUUCUAGAUAAUAAAUUUACUUUAAUAUAUGUAAUUUAUUUUAUUGUGGAUCCUUAUUAGUGAGAUUAUAAGUCUAAGUUACCUUAGGGAUAACAGCGUAAUCUCUUUUGAGAGUUCUUAUCGAUAAAGGGGGUUGCGACCUCGAUGUUGGAUUAAAAUUUUCUUUUUAAUGUAGCAGUUAGAUUAGGAUGGUCUGUUCGACCAUUAAAAUUUUACAUGAUCUGAGUUCAGACCGGUGAGAGCCAGGUUGGUUUCUAUCCUCAGGAUUAUUUUGUUUCUCUAGUACGAAAGGACCGAGAAAUAGAAAUAAUUUU
rnacentral:rRNA from 1 species